GAUGAAGAACGCAGCGAAAUGCGAUAAGUAGUGUGAAUUGCAGAAUUCAGUGAAUCAUCGAAUCUUUGAACGCACAUUGCGCCCUUCGGUAUUCCGUUGGGCAUGCCUGUUCGAGCGUCAUUUAAACCUUCAAGCUCUGCUUGGUGUUGGGUGUUUGUCUCGCCUCUGCGUGUAGACUCGCCUCAAAACAAUUGGCAGCCGGCGUAUUGAUUUCGGAGCGCAGUACAUCUCGCGCUUUGCACUCAUAACGACGACGUCCAAAAGUACAUUUUUACACUCUUGACCUCGGAUCAGGUAGGGAUACCCGCUGAACUUAAGCAUAUCAAUAAGCGGAGGA
rnacentral:misc_RNA from 1 species